rnacentral:rRNA from 1 species
UAGGGAAUCUUCGGCAAUGGGGGGAACCCUGACCGAGCAACGCCGCGUGAGUGAAGAAGGUUUUCGGAUCGUAAAGCUCUGUUGUUAAGGAAGAACGAGUGUGAGAAUGGAAAGUUCAUGCUGUGACGGUACUUAACCAGAAAGGGACGGCUAACUACGUGCCAGCAGCCGCGGUAAUACGUAGGUCCCGAGCGUUGUCCGGAUUUAUUGGGCGUAAAGCGAGCGCAGGCGGUUAGAAAAGUCUGAAGUGAAAGGCAGUGGCUCAACCAUUGUAGGCUUUGGAAACUGUGUAACUUGAGUGCAGAAGGGGAGAGUGGAAUUCCAUGUGUAGCGGUGAAAUGCGUAGAUAUAUGGAGGAACACCGGUGGCGAAAGCGGCUCUCUGGUCUGUAACUGACGCUGAGGCUCGAAAGCGUGGGUAGCAAACAGG